GGUGGUUCUCGGGUGACACACCCCAGAAUCAGGCUCCCUCCUCUCUGGUUCCAGGAUACGUUACCUAAGAACCGCU
rfam:Myotis lucifugus cont2.70514, whole genome shotgun sequence.